UGGGUAGCUACGUUCGGAAGGGAUAAACGCUGAAAGCAUCUAAGCGUCAAGCCCACUCCAAGACUAGAUAUCCCGUAGGGUUAACCUACCUAAAGACCCCUCGCAGACUACGAGGUUGAUAGGCUGCAGGUCGAAGCGCAGCAAUGCGUGAAGCCGAGCAGUACUAAUCGGUCGUGAGGCUUAACCAU
rnacentral:rRNA from 1 species